rnacentral:rRNA from 1 species
UACGGGGGGAGCAAGCGUUGUUCGGAUUUACUGGGCGUAAAGGGCGGGUAGGCGGCCACCGCAAGUCAGUUGUGAAAUCUCUGGGCUUAACCCAGAAAGGUCAACUGAUACUGCGGGGCUAGAGUGCAGAAGGGGCAACUGGAAUUCUCGGUGUAGCGGUGAAAUGCGUAGAUAUCGAGAGGAACACCUGCGGCGAAGGCGGGUUGCUGGGCUGACACUGACGCUGAACUGCGAAAGCGUGGGGAGCAAACAGG